CCUAACACAUGCAAGUCGAACGGUAACAGGAAACAGCUUGCUGUUUCGCUGACGAGUGGCGGACGGGUGAGUAAUGUCUGGGAAGCUGCCUGAUGGAGGGGGAUAACUACUGGAAACGGUAGCUAAUACCGCAUAAUGUCGCAAGACCAAAGAGGGGGACCUUCGGGCCUCUUGCCAUCGGAUGUGCCCAGAUGGGAUUAGCUUGUUGGUGGGGUGACGGCUCACCAAGGCGACGAUCCCUAGCUGGUCUGAGAGGAUGACCAGCCACACUGGAACUGAGACACGGUCCAGACUCCUACGGGAGGCAGCAGUGGGGAAUAUUGCACAAUGGGCGCAAGCCUGAUGCAGCCAUGCCGCGUGUAUGAAGAAGGCCUUCGGGUUGUAAAGACU
rnacentral:rRNA from 1 species